rnacentral:rRNA from 1 species
UACGUAGGGUGCAAGCGUUAUCCGGAAUUAUUGGGCGUAAAGAGCUCGUAGGCGGUUUGUCGCGUCUGCUGUGAAAACCCGAGGCUCAACCUCGGGCCUGCAGUGGGUACGGGCAGACUAGAGUGAUGUAGGGGAGACUGGAAUUCCUGGUGUAGCGGUGAAAUGCGCAGAUAUCAGGAAGAACACCAAUGGCGAAAGCAGCUUUCUGGGACGGUACUGACGCUGGAGACGCGAAAGCGUGGGGAGCGAACAGG